rnacentral:misc_RNA from 1 species
GACGGAGGGUGCAAGCGUUGUUCGGAAUUACUGGGCGUAAAGCGCGCGUAGGCGGUUUGAUAAGCGAGAUGUGAAAGCCCCGGGCUCAACCUGGGAAUGGCAUUUCGAACUGUCAGGCUAGAGUAUGGUAGAGGGUAGUGGAAUUUCCUGUGUAGCGGUGAAAUGCGUAGAUAUAGGAAGGAACACCAGUGGCGAAGGCGGCUACCUGGACCAAUACUGACGCUGAGGUGCGAAGGCGUGGGGAGCAAACAGG